ACAAAGGUAUUGAAAUAAGAUUUUAAUUGAAUGCUAAGAGAAUGGAAGUCCAGAAAAAAACUUUUUUUAAAUUAAAAAUUGAAGUUUUUUUAAUUUGUGCAGAAACAAUUAUUUAUAUUAAAGACAAGAAGACCCUAUGAAUUUAUUAAAUUUUUAUUUAAUAUGUAAUUACUAUUAGAAAAAUUUUGGCUGGGGCGGCUAGAAAAUAUUAUAAACUUUUUAAAAAUAAAAUGAUCCAUUAUUAAUGAUUUUAUGUUAAAUACUCUAGGGAUAACAGCGU
rnacentral:rRNA from 1 species